UACGUAGGAGACGAGCGUUGUCCGGAAUCACUGGGCGUAAAGCGCGUGUAGGCGGAUCGGCAAGUCUGCUGUGAAAGCUCCUGGCUUAACCGGGAGUGGUCGGUGGAAACUGCCAGUCUGGAAGACGGUAGAGGUAGGUAGAAUUCCCGGUGUAGUGGUGAAAUGCGUAGAGAUCGGGAGGAAUACCGUGUGGCGAAGGCGGCCUACUGGGCCGGACCUGGACGCUGAGACGCGAAGGCGUGGGGAGCGAACGGG
rnacentral:rRNA from 1 species